rnacentral:rRNA from 1 species
CCUACGGGAGGCAGCAGUGAGGAAUAUUGGUCAAUGGACGCAAGUCUGAACCAGCCAUGCCGCGUGCAGGAAGACGGCUCUAUGAGUUGUAAACUGCUUUUGUACGAGGGUAAACUCAGAUACGCGUAUCUGUCUGAAAGUAUCGUACGAAUAAGGAUCGGCUAACUCCGUUCCAGCCGCCGCGGUACUACGGAGGAUUCAAGCGUUAUCCGGAUUUAUUGGGUUUAAAGGGUGCGUAGGCGGUCGGAUAAGUUAGAGGUGAAAUCCCGAGGCUCAACUUCGGAAUUGCCUCUGAUACUGUUCGGCUAGAGAGUAGUUGCGGUAGGCGGAAUGUAUGGUGUAGCGGUGAAAUGCUUAGAGAUCAUACAGAACACCGAUUGCGAAGGCAGCUUACCAAGCUACUUCUGACGUUGAGGCACGAAAGCGUGGGGAGCAAACAGGAUUAGAUACCCUUGUAGUC